rnacentral:rRNA from 1 species
AGAGUUUGAUCCUGGCUCAGAGCGAACGCUGGCGGCAGGCUUAACACAUGCAAGUCGAACGGUCCUUCGGGAUAGUGGCGGACGGGUGAGUAACACGUGGGAACGUACCCUUAGGUUCGGAACAACACAGGGAAACUUGUGCUAAUACCGGAUAAGCCCUUCGGGGGAAAGAUUUAUCGCCUUUGGAGCGGCCCGCGUCUGAUUAGCUUGUUGGUGAGGUAAUGGCUCACCAAGGCGACGAUCCAUAGCUGGUCUGAGAGGAUGAUCAGCCACAUUGGGACUGAGACACGGCCCAAACUCCUACGGGAGGCAGCAGUGGGGAAUAUUGGACAAUGGGCGCAAGCCUGAUCCAGCCAUGCCGCGUGAGUGAUGAAGGCCUUAGGGUUGUAAAGCUCUUUCACCGAUGAAGAUAAUGACGGUAGUCGGAGAAGAAGCCCCGGCUAACUUCGUGCCAGCAGCCGCGGUAAUACGAAGGGGGCUAGCGUUGUUCGGAAUUACUGGGCGUAAAGCGCACGUAGGCGGAUAUUUAAGUCAGGGGUGAAAUCCCGCAGCUCAACUGCGGAACUGCCUUUGAUACUGGGUAUCUUGAGUAUGGAAGAGGUAAGUGGAAUUCCGAGUGUAGAGGUGAAAUUCGUAGAUAUUCGGAGGAACACCAGUGGCGAAGGCGGCUUACUGGUCCAUUACUGACGCUGAGGUGCGAAAGCGUGGGGAGCAAACAGGAUUAGAUACCCUGGUAGUCCAA